GCCCGGGCCCUGUGUCCUGCGCCCGGUGGCCUUUCCACCUCUGCCUUCCUGGCCCUGGUCCUGGCCCUGGCCCUGGC
ensembl:miRNA